AACGUACGCUGGCGGCACGCCUAACACAUGCAAGUCGAACGAAGUAGCAAUACUUAGUGGCGAACGGGUGAGUAUAAUGUGGGUAUCUGCCUUUUGGUUUGGAAUAACACGAGGAAACUUGUGCUAAUACCGGAUAAGCCCUUACGGGGAAAGUUUUAACGCCGAAAGAUGAGCCCGCACUUGAUUAGCUAGUUGGUAAGGUAAAAGCUUACCAAGGCUACGAUCAAUAGCUGAUCUGAGAGGAUGAUCAGCCACAUUGGGACUGAGACACGGCCCAAACUCCUACGGGAGGCAGCAGUGGGGAAUCUUGCACAAUGGGGGAAACCCUGAUGCAGCGAUGCCGCGUGAGUGAAGAAGGCCUUUGGGUUGUAAAGCUCUUUCGUCGGGGAAGAAAAUGACUGUACCCGAAUAAGAAGGUCCGGCUAACUUCGUG
rnacentral:rRNA from 1 species